rnacentral:tRNA from 1 species
GGCCCCGUGGUGUAGAGGCCUAACACGCCACCCUGUCACGGUGGAGAUCGUCGGUUCGAAUCCGAUCGGGGUCGCCA